GCGGCUAUAGCUCAGUUGGUAGAGCGCACCCCUGAUAAGGGUGAGGUCCUAGGUUCAAUUCCUAGUAGCCGCACAA
rnacentral:tRNA from 1 species